CUUUACCGUAGCCUGGAAUUGUGUCCGGGCUUCGCUUGCGCAGGAUAGGUGGGAAGCGAUGAAGUAUUCCUUGUGGGGAAUAUGGAGCUAACGGUGAGAUACCACUCUGGCGAAGCUAGGAUUCUAACUUAUUUCCGUUAUCCGGAAAAAGGACAGUUUCAGGCGGGCAGUUUGACUGGGGCGGUCGCCUCCUAAAUGGUAACGGAGGCGCGCAAAGGUUCUCUCAGGCUGGUUGGAAAUCAGCCGUAGAGUGUAAAGGCAUAAGAGAGCUUGACUGUGAGACCCACAAGUCGAACAGGGACGAAAGUCGGCCUUAGUGAUCCGACGGCACUGAGUGGAAGGGCCGUCGCUAAACGGAUAAAAGUUA
rnacentral:rRNA from 1 species